CAGAGGGCAGGGUGCUGGCUAACGGCCAGUCGAGGCGACUCGCAGGAAAGUGCCACAGAAAACAGACCGCCCGUUCCGCGAGGGGCGGGUAAGGGUGAAACGGUGCGGUAAGAGCGCACCGCGUCCGGGGUGACUCGGACGGCUCGGUAAACCCCACCUGGAGCAAGAGCCAAUAGGAGCGCGUCCCCGCUGUCCGGGGGACAGGGGUUGCCCGCCCCAUGCGUUCGGGUUGCUCGCUGAUGAGGCCCCUGGGCAACCAGGGCCCUAGAUGAAUGUUCAUCGCCCGUCCCGAAAGGGGCGGGA
rnacentral:misc_RNA from 1 species